GCCUGGGUGGCUCAGUUGGUUAAGCAUCUGACUUCAGCUCAGGUCAUGAUCUCGCCAUCCGUGAGUUCGAGCCCCACGUCAGGCU
rfam:Felis catus isolate Cinnamon breed Abyssinian chromosome B4, whole genome shotgun sequence.